AUACGGAGGGUGCGAGCGUUAAUCGGAAUUACUGGGCGUAAAGCGCGCGUAGGCGGCUUGGUUAGUCGGAUGUGAAAGCCCCGGGCUUAACCUGGGAAUUUCAUUCGAUACUGCCAGGCUAGAGUAUGUUAGAGGAAAGUGGAAUUCCCGGUGUAGCGGUGAAAUGCGUAGAUAUCGGGAGGAACAUCAGUGGAGAAGGCGACUUUCUGGAUAAAUACUGACGCUGAGGUGCGAAAGCGUGGGGAGCGAACAGGAUUAGAAACCCCGGUAGUCC
rnacentral:rRNA from 1 species